rnacentral:rRNA from 1 species
AAAAACAUCGCCUCCCGCAAAAUCUCAAUGUAUAGGAGGUCUUGCCUGCCCAGUGAACUAGUUUAAACGGCCGCGGUAUCUUGACCGUGCAAAGGUAGCGCAAUCACUUGUCUUUUAAAUGAAGACCUGUAUGAAUGGUGGAACGAGGGCUUAACUGUCUCCCCCCUUAGGUCAGUGAAAUUGAUCUACCCGUGCAGAAGCGGGUAUAAAAAUACAAGACGAGAAGACCCUUUGGAGCUUAAGACACCAAGACCACUUAUGUCAAAAAUCCACUACAAAGCAGAUUAAACCUAAUAAUAUAUGGUCCCAGUCUUCGGUUGGGGCGACCGCGGGGGAAAAUAAAGCCCCCAUGUGGAAUGGGAAAAAUAUCCUAAAACCAAGAGAGACAUCUCUAAGACACAGAACAUCUGACCAUUAUAGAUCCGGCUAUACAGCCGAUCAACGGACCAAGUUACCCUAGGGAUAACAGCGCAAUCCCCUCCCAGAGUCCCUAUCGACAAGGGGGUUUACGACCUCGAUGUUGGAUCAGGACAUCCUAAUGGUGCAGCCGCUAUUAAGGGUUCGUUUGUUCAACGAUUAAAGUCCUACGUGAUCUGAG